UUUCCGUAGGUGAACCUGCGGAAGGAUCAUUAAUGGGAAAUCAAAUCAAAACAAAUGUUCUGUUGCACUGGGUGUGCUGUGUGGUGGUGGUGUGAGACACGGAGAUUCAAUCAUUGGAAUUCAAUCAUUGGAAUUCAAUCAUUGGAGAUUCAAUCAUUGGAGAUUCAAUCAUUGGAGAUUCAAUCAUUGGAGAUUCAAUCAUUGGAGAUUCAAUCAUUGGAGCUUCAAUCAUUGGAGAUUCAAUCAUUGGAGAUUCAAUCAUUGGAGAUUCAAUCAUUGCUGAUUCAAUCGGUGGUGAUUCAAUGAUUGUAGAUUCAAUCAUUGGAGAUUCAAUCAUUUGAGAUUCAAUCAGUGGAGAUUCAAUCAUUGGAGAUUCAAUCAUUGGAUAUUCAAUCAUUGGAGAUUCAAUCAUUGGAGAUUCAAUCAUUCAAUCUCAAUCAUUCAAUCUCAAUCAUCGCCACACAACACAACUAUCUAUCACACUCGAUCAACAACAACACACUCACACACAACAGCAAACAACUUUUAACAAUGGAUCUCUUGGCUCUU
rnacentral:misc_RNA from 1 species